UGUCAGCGUCCUAUUCUAACAAGUGAACUUCAUCUUACCUCCAAUCCAUUUAGACAGAUGUUUUAUUUCAAUGAGUCUGUUUAUUUUUUCUGUUCCGUUGGAUUCUAUCUCCAGGGAUCAUCAAUUAAAAAUUGUACAAAAUCAGAUGAUUUUCAACAUGAAUUACCUUCGUGUUCAAACAUAACUUGCAAGAAACCAAACUUUACGACUACUAGUGCUCUACAACUGUCCACAAAUACACUCCAGGAGAUAUUUUCUUUCAAUGAUUCUAUUUCAUUUACCUGCACUUUAGGAUACAUUCUACAAGGACCCACGAUAAAAUACUGUCGACAAAUUGGAGAUUUUGAACAUAAUUUACCUACUUGUGCAGAAAUCCAGAGCACACAGAUAUCAUUAACCCUCGCCUUUUUGUCAGGAGGUGCCAUUGGCAUCAUUUUACUUUCAUCUGUUAUGAUUGUUAUCGUUAU